rnacentral:lncRNA from 1 species
UAGGAGAAUCCUCUGAAUCAAGACCUCCAGCACCUCUGCAAGAGUCUUCUGGUAAGUCUGCCUCUCCUGCUCCCUCUGUACAGCAACUUGCUUCGUCUAUUCCUCUACCAACACCCCUCUACACCACAUCUGAAACCCCUCCCUCAACAACCAGAACAUCUCAACCACUACCAAAAUUCAACCUUGCCAAUACCUCCUUACCCA